rnacentral:rRNA from 1 species
AUUGAACGCUGGCGGCAGGCCUAACACAUGCAAGUCGAGCGGAGCGGCGGACGGGUGAGUAAGGCCAAGGAAUCGGCCUGGUCGUGGGGGAUAACGUCCGGCAACGGGCGCUAAUACCGCAUACUAUCAGAUGAGCCUGGGUCGGAUUAGCUAGUUGGUGGGGUAAAGGCCAACCAAGGCGACGGUCCGUAACUGGUCUGAGAGGAUGAGCAGUCACACUGGAACUGAGACACGGUCCAGACUCCGACGGGAGGCAGCAGUGGGGAAUAUUGGACAAUGGGCGAAAGCCUGAUGCAGCCAUGCCGCGUGUAUGAAGAAGGUCUUCGGAUUGUAAAGUACUUUAAGUUGGGAGGCGUUACCAACAGAAUAAGCACCGGCUAACGUCGUGCCAGCCGCCGCGGUAAUAC